GACACCAUAGCCAAGUGGUUACGGCGACAGAUUAGAAUUGCAUAUAGCGACGUUGCUUUAUCUGUUUCCCUUUGGGAGCGCAGGUUCGAAUCCUGCUGGUGUCG
rnacentral:tRNA from 1 species